UACAGAGGGUGCGAGCGUUAAUCGGAAUUACUGGGCGUAAAGCGCACGUAGGCGGCUUGGCAUGUCGGGUGUGAAAUCCCCGGGCUCAACCUGGGAACUGCAUCCGAAACUGCCUUGCUAGAGUAUGGGAGAGGGAAGUGGAAUUUCCGGUGUAGCGGUGAAAUGCGUAGAUAUCGGAAGGAACAUCAGUGGCGAAGGCGACUUCCUGGACCAAUACUGACGCUCAGGUGCGAAAGCGUGGGGAGCAAACAGG
rnacentral:rRNA from 2 species